CCCGGGCCUUGUACACACCGCCCGUCACGCCAUGGAAGUUGGUACCGCCUUAAAAGGCCCAGUUAACCGCAAGGAGACAGGUCUUAAUGGUGGUGCCGAUGACUGGGGUG
rnacentral:rRNA from 1 species